CAGCAAUCUGACACAGCAGCUCUUUGGGGAAUUAAGGCACAAUUCACAAUUGGGGUGAUGGGUUUGUCACGUGGUGCUGAUGCAGUUGUUGCCCUGAAGAGUAAAGCUUGGGUUUCUUUUUCUGCAGAUGCAGUUUCCACAUCGAUGCAAUGGAUGCUGCUGAGGAGGAACCACCUCAGUUUGGUCUUUGUAAACUGCUGCUGCUCAGCCUGCAUGGACAGUUCUGGCAGUGCACUUGAAUAAGGCUGCAAAGUUUUUCUUUUAGCUCAGUCCUUGAGAGGUCCUGCAGAUGCCACUGACAUUCUCCUGGAAGAACCCUCCAUCCUCUUCCUGGUCAGGAAAGGGACACAACUGGGCCCUGGAAGAAUGACUGGAUGGAGGGUGAAGGUGCUGAGAGUGGAGUUGUUCUGUGUUUGAGAGAAAAUGUGGAUGAACAUCCCUUACCCCUUGAUGAUGGAGCACUGUGGUGUCCCUGCCUGCCCUUCACACCAAAUGGGGGAAAGGACACUUGGAGCACCUGUACCGAAAGGGAGAAGGUGAAGAAGCCUGUGAGCAUUCCCUGCCUCCUCUGAUCUUAUGCAGAUUCUAAACACAAGUCUGAACGCAAGCUCGAUGGCAACUCUCUGCUCCGGCUGCCAGGGCUGCAGCUCCAGCCGCUCCUCUCCGUCCUCCACCUUCUUUUUCCAAAGUAACAAAGCCAUUGGAUUUCCUCCCACCCCUUCCCUGCGCCUCCCCUCCCCCUCGCUGGCACCGGGGUUAUUUAUACAGAAUGUGGAAACAAUUUGCAGGAAAGUGAACAAUGUAAGCGGGAGCGAGGGAAGGGAGGCGAGUUUGCAGAGCACGCUGAGAGCCCCAGCGGUGGAACGCUGCUUUUGGGGGAGCACGGGGAGCAGGAUGUUUUCCUUUCUUCCUUCUCCCCUCUCCCACCAUCUCCCUGAGCUCCUUCCAUCCUGCUGGAGUCGAGGCCAAACCAGAGCAACGAGAUCUGAGUGA
rnacentral:lncRNA from 1 species